CGAACGAUGAAGCCUUUCGGGGUGGAUUAGUGGCGAACGGGUGAGUAACACGUGGGCAAUCUGCCCUUCACUCUGGGACAAGCCCUGGAAACGGGGUCUAAUACCGGAUAACACUCUGUCCUGCAUGGGACGGGGUUAAAAGCUCCGGCGGUGAAGGAUGAGCCCGCGGCCUAUCAGCUUGUUGGUGGGGUAAUGGCCUACCAAGGCGACGACGGGUAGCCGGCCUGAGAGGGCGACCGGCCACACUGGGACUGAGACACGGCCCAGACUCCUACGGGAGGCAGCAGUGGGGAAUAUUGCACAAUGGGCGAAAGCCUGAUGCAGCGACGCCGCGUGAGGGAUGACGGCCUUCGGGUUGUAAACCUCUUUCAGCAGGGAAGAAGCGAAAGUGACGGUACCUGCAGAAGAAGCGCCGGCUAACUACGUGCCAGCAGCCGCGGUAAUACGUAGGGCGCAAGCGUUGUCCGGAAUUAUUGGGCGUAAAGAGCUCGUAGGCGGCUUGUCACGUCGGAUGUGAAAGCCCGGGGCUUAACCCCGGGUCUGCAUUCGAUACGGGCUAGCUAGAGUGUGGUAGGGGAGAUCGGAAUUCCUGGUGUAGCGGUGAAAUGCGCAGAUAUCAGGAGGAACACCGGUGGCGAAGGCGGAUCUCUGGGCCAUUACUGACGCUGAGGAGCGAAAGCGUGGGGAGCGAACAGGAUUAGAUACCCUGGUAGU
rnacentral:rRNA from 1 species